GCGUACCUUUUGUAUAAUGGGUCAGCGACUUAUAUUCUGUAGCAAGGUUAACCGUAUAGGGGAGCCGGAGGGAAACCGAGUCUUAAUUGGGCGUUAAGUUGCAGGGUAUAGACCCGAAACCCGGUGAUCUAGCCAUGGGCAGGUUGAAGGUUGGGUAACACUAACUGGAGGACCGAACCGACUAAUGUUGAAAAAUUAGCGGAUGACCUGUGGCUGGGGGUGAAAGGCCAAUCAAACCGGGAGAUAGCUGGUUCUCCCCGAAAGCUAUUUAGGUAGCGCCUCGUGAAUUCAUCUCCGGGGGUAGAGCACUGUUUCGGCUAGGGGGCCAUCCCGGCUUACCAACCCGAUGCAAACUGCGAAUACCGGAGAAUGUUAUCACGGGAGACACACGGCGGGUGCUAACGUCCGUCGUGAAGAGGGAAACAACCCAGACCGCCAGCUAAGGUCCCAAAGUCAUGGUUAAGUGGGAAACGAUGUGGGAAGGCCCAGACAGCCAGGAUGUUGGCUUAGAAGCAGCCAUCAUUUAAAGAAAGCGUAAUAGCUCACUGGUCGAGUCGGCCUGCGCGGAAGAUGUAACGGGGCUAAACCAUGCACCGAAGCUGCGGCAGCGACACUAUGUGUUGUUGGGUAGGGGAGCGUUCUGUAAGCCUGUGAAGGUGUGCUGUGAGGCAUGCUGGAGGUAUCAGAAGUGCGAAUGCUGACAUAAGUAACGAUAAAGCGGGUGAAAAGCCCGCUCGCCGGAAGACCAAGGGUUCCUGUCCAACGUUAAUCGGGGCAGGGUGAGUCGACCCCUAAGGCGAGGCCGAAAGGCGUAGUCGAUGGGAAACGGGUUAAUAUUCCCGUACUUGGUGUUACUGCGAAGGGGGGACGGAGAAGGCUAUGUUGGCCGGGCGACGGUUGUCCCGGUUUAAGCGUGUAGGUGUGUGUUCCAGGUAAAUCCGGUUCACUUUAACACUGAGGCGUGAUGACGAGGCACUACGGUGCUGAAGCAACAAAUGCCCUGCUUCCAGGAAAAGCCUCUAAGCAUCAGGUAACAUCAAAUCGUACCCCAAACCGACACAGGUGGUCAGGUAGAGAAUACCAAGGCGCUUGAGAGAACUCGGGUGAAGGAACUAGGCAAAAUGGUGCCGUAACU
rnacentral:rRNA from 1 species